rnacentral:tmRNA from 1 species
GGGGCCGAACGGCAUCGAUCGGACGUUUCGAUGUUGUCGUUGCGUGUCGUGGAGCAUCCAGGCCACGUAAAAAGGAUGCAAAAACACAACUGCCAACACGCAGUACUCACUCGCAGCCUAAGCCGCGACCGCUGGUCACCCGACGCCCGAUGAGGUGGCCAGUGGAACAUCAUCGGGCUGGUUCCAAUGGGCUGGCAUACUUCGGCGGAACGAGAAACUCGUAUGCCAUGUCCUGUGGUUGGCCGCCAUCAGCCGUUCCACAGGACGAGAACAAAGAGAUGGAUACGCACGUAGACGCGGCAGCUUCACCGCUCCGACACGGGGGUUCGAAUCCCCCCGGC